AACUGAUUAACACAAUUUCCUUUUUAAAAAAAAAAUGAAGGAUCUGAAUGUUUUCAGAAAAACGGUGGGUUUGUUAUAAUUAGGCAGCGGCCAGACAACCGUAGAGAUGGAAUCCACAGAUGCUGAUUUUUUUUUAUCUCACCAUACUACUAAAUCCAUCUCAUAUUA
rfam:Medicago truncatula strain A17 chromosome 3, whole genome shotgun sequence.